rnacentral:lncRNA from 1 species
UCAGGUUCAAAGGGCAAAGUACAAAGAAAUCGAACUUAUUAAACGAGGCCCAUUACAAUAACAAUAUAGAAUUUAAUCCAUUUGUGUUAACACCAACUCAACUUCAUCUUCAGUCUACACGUGCCAACUUCACAUGCAUCUGUAUGACUUGUGUAUCAACACAUGGUCUUCAUGCGAGACGACAUCUAUCUUGCCGUUUUGAUGUUCCUUUACCGCAAGAUCCACCGUAGUCGAUUCACACAAAUCUUUAGAACCUCGCCUUUUAUGAAAUUCAUAAAUCCCUUUCCGAUCUCACCUAACUCCAAUCUUUCACCUCAGCCGUCGUUUAUGGCCAGGGUUCCUUUAACGCCGAUUGAUUACAUUGGGAAACUCAUAUUUUAUUCAAAGAUAGAUUUUUU